CUGCUCGGACGUGAGAGCAACCGGUUAUUCGACUAGUUAAAAAAAAUUGCUUUUCUUGAUAAGUAGUAAAAGAAAAUUGCAAGUCAAUCGAUCGAUCGAAUCGAAUACAAUAACAUCUCCUCUUCUUGCUUCCUCCUCCUCCUCGGGAACCCAACUCAAUCUCCCAUUGCUGCCGGCCGAUCAUCGUGGAGACGACACUCAGGAUCCUCUUAUAGAACCAGGUUGGGAUGUCAUCAAUGGAGCCGCCUCCGUUCCAAGAAGCGGCUCGCUGCGACGUCUGCAAAUGCAGCGUCAACACUUUCAGACGAAGGACAGAGCGGCAUCUCUUUCUUGUUCUUGCUGUUAGCAUCACUGCCGGUGCUGUGGGAGAACACUGUGUUAUGAACAUUUGUCCAAUCAAAUGGUAAAAUGCGUUAUAUAUUAUUCUAUGGUUUACUUGUCCAAUUGAGGUGAAACUUUUGAUGGGUUCCUUGUCGUCUUUUGCCUUCAAUUUCAGGUUCUACCACAAUUCGGCAUCCACUCACCAGUAGAGUAUGUGCUGAUUGUUUUAACAACUCUUCGAAGGCUGUAAAACGUGUGACUCAAGCUUCAGGUGGAGAGGAUCAAGUAUCAGCUUCAGUUUCUAGGUUAGACAUUAAUGCAGAUAAAGACUCCAAGGCCGAACCUCUCCCCGACCAUCACCCCGUUCCAGGUGUGCCAGAAUGCAAGUGCAGGAUGCCUUUAUGCAUUUGUGAGGCUCCAUCCCCUUCGACUGAUGGGCUUGCUCAGCAAAAAAUUUUAAGCAAUGCUCAGUCUGUUCCAAAGGAUAGGACUUCCACAUCAAACAGCAAAAGCUCGUCUGUUUUCAAUGUUCAAGAAGUCCAUGUUAAUUCAGAGAAACCUAAAAUGGAGUAUGCAGCCAAUGGGGAGGGUUUAAGAGGCAAUAAAAAAUGAUGAUGGAGCUGUUGUAAUAAAGCUUCUUAGGGAGAGUGUUGACGCAAAUUAUCGAGAUAGACAAGGGAUGUCUUUGCUUCAUCUGAUACCACACCGAUAUCCUACAUCCCUGCAACUGAAGAUGGAAGAUAACAACCAACCCAUCCUCCCUGAGAAGGUCACUCCACCCGCUCUGGCUUAUUCCCAACCGCCCACAACAUAUGCACCAUCACUACCGACUCCUGUGGGUAUACACCCAGCAUAUUCGCGUGCGCUAUCAGUCUACCUCCAGCCACCGGCUUCCUCAAGCGCACCCUUGGCACACUUAGGGACAUCACCGCCCUAUGCACCACCUCCACCGGCACCGGCGGCUCAAGCCCCUCCAUGCUCCGACGACGCCAUGCGCAUCGCAGCGCUUGAAGGCAUAGUCAACAAACUAGCCGCUGACAUAGUUGAACUCAUGGCCUUGCUCAGGGGCUCGAGCCGUACCUUCUCGAGCUCCGCCCCGCCACUGGCACACGGUCAACGGUUGACCCGUCCCUUUGGGUCCCGCCAACCCAUGUGCCGGAGAGCGAUGUUGUGCCCAUUCCCGCACCUACGCACUUCCCAGCGCUCGGUCCUCCUUCAAUGUACGUGCAGACGGUUAAAUCGAUCAGUGCUCCCUUUUCGUCAUCAAUCCUUCCGGCGAUCAUCCCUCCUCCGUUGAUGACGAUACCGGCGAUAGACCCGGCUAUGUUCGCGCCGCCCCCGAUAUCAAUGCUAGCUCCGGGCCUCAUCUAUACCACCCCCAUGUUGACGAUCUUUCCGGUACAAGGCACACACGCUCUUGCUCCUAUCACUGAACCAUUCCCCUUUCCGACUUCACAACUCCAAAUAAGCCUCUCCCACCAAACUCUACCAAUCCUAAAUAUUUCCUACUACAACCUGAGCUCACAUACCACAGCGGCCCUCGAAGCUCCACCGACAUAUACUCCCCCUGUCGUGGAGACUGAGCAGGAGCGCCUGAUGAAAAGGAUGGAAAAGUUGAUGAGGGCCAUCAAGGAAAGUGACUCUCGGUAUGAUAUGAGUCACUUGGACCUGAGGCUUUUUCCAGACAUGAAACUACCUCCAAAGAUUAAAAUCCUAGACUUCGACAAAUAUGACGGGACCACGGAUUCGAGGCCACAUCUGCAAAGCUACUAGAAUCGGAUGAUGCAGUAUUGGGGGUAUGAGCAAUUCAUGAUUCAGACUUUCCAAGCGAGUCUUGAAGGGGCGGCGCUCAACUGGUUCUCAUCUCUCAAGGCCACGGACGUCCCUACCUAGGAAGAGCUCGUCACAAAAUUUAUCUCCCAGUACAGCUACAACAUAGACGUGGCCUGGUCCUAACUCAAGCUAAGUGUCAUGGAGAUGCGAGAGGGACAGUCUUUCGAGGACUAUGCCAACCAUUGGCGUGCCGAGGCAGCCAAGCACCAUCCUUCGAUUGACGAAACCAUGCAAAUUCAAAUCUUCCACGGGACCCUCAAAAGUGGGUACUACUUGCACCUCUUGGGGCACAUGUCUUCCUUUUUUGACAUGAUAAAGAUCGGCAAGAAUGUCAUCCUCGGGAUCAAACUGGGAAGGAUUGACCACCCGGUUAAGAAGGAAGAUCCCAGGAAGACGACCGUUGAUGCCACAUCCUCUUACAACAGGAAAGGCAAAGACGCUAUCGUCAAUGCCGUAAACUCAAGAUACCCCGGCCACCAACAAUACGCGGUCAACAUCUCGCCGCCUAAUCCGCCGUCGUACCACCAUGCCCCACAACAACAAUAUCUGGCUCAACCGGUUUAUUAUUCGACUUCACAAGCCUACUCACCUCUCCAGGCACCACAACCAUAUGGCCAACACUAUGCCUCCGCCUUCAUAGUGCAAUCCAAUAGGUCUUCGGUUUCGAGAACUCCUCAGCCGGCCCAGUCAAGCCUCCAAAUGUCCAAGACAACCCCUAUCCCGACCAUGGGUCGAGCUCAAGCGUGGCGAUCGACAUCUACACUCGAGGCAAGGACAAGGUCAAGGAGGAAGAGUUGGCCUCCUCAUAAGGAUAUCUAUGUGCAUAUAAUGUUCCCCGCGUGUAGACAAAGCUAUAAGCCACACGACGGAAGAUAGAUCUUUUGUUGUAGCGCAAGUAUCGAUUUUAAUGAAAUCCCUCCGUAUAUUUUUGGAACUCUUGCGUCUA